AGUGAACGCUGGCGGUAGGCCUAACACAUGCAAGUCGAACGGCAGCACAGUAAGAGCUUGCUCUUACGGGUGGCGAGUGGCGGACGGGUGAGGAAUACAUCGGAAUCUACUUUUUCGUGGGGGAUAACGUAGGGAAACUUAUGCUAAUACCGCAUACGACCUACGGGUGAAAGCAGGGGAUCUUCGGACCUUGCGCGAUUGAAUGAGCCGAUGUCGGAUUAGCUAGUUGGCGGGGUAAAGGCCCACCAAGGCGACGAUCCGUAGCUGGUCUGAGAGGAUGAUCAGCCACACUGGAACUGAGACACGGUCCAGACUCCUACGGGAGGCAGCAGUGGGGAAUAUUGGACAAUGGGCGCAAGCCUGAUCCAGCCAUACCGCGUGGGUGAAGAAGGCCUUCGGGUUGUAAAGCCCUUUUGUCGGGAAAGAAAAGCAGCAGGUUAAUACCCCGCUGUUCUGACGGUACCCAAAGAAUAAGCACCGGCUAACUUCGUG
rnacentral:rRNA from 1 species